UUAAUACCAAAGCCUUGGUUUCUUACAAUUGCUAAUGGCUUCUCAUAUUCUAAUAGCCUUUUUCCUCUUCUUUUCGAUCCAACCCUUUUUAGCUCAGUCUAGAACUUUGAAGUCUGAAAACCAAGAUCAAUUCAAAUCCUUUCAAAACCUGGAAGGUGCUGGAAAGGGCUCAACAGUGGAAGGGCUGAGUAAGGUGAAACAAUACCUGAAAAAUUUAGGAUACUAUCCAACUGAUACCAAUCUUGUCACUGACCAUUUUGAUGAAGUUAUGGAGUCUGCACUCAAAACAUAUCAAAACUAUUACCGUUUGAAAGUUACAGGAAAGCUAGACUCCGAUACCAUAAAAGAAAUGAUGAUUCCACGAUGUGGAGUUCCUGAUAACAUCAAUCACCCAACAAAACAAAGCCAUCACAAGCCUGGAAAAUUCAAUAUGAUAGUUUCUGAUUACUCUUUCUUUCGAAACAUGCCGAAAUGGCCACCUUCCAAGUACCACCUGACCUACAAAUUUCGCUCCGCGGUCCAAGUCAUCGAUGAGAAGGUGUUAAAGUCUGUUUGCGCCAAGGCAUUCAAAAAAUGGGCUGAUGUUUCCCAGUUCACAUUCGAGGAGGCAGCUGCUGGUUCAAAAUCAGAUAUUGUUAUAGGGUUCUACAGUGGAGAUCAUGGGGAUGGUCAUCCUUUUGAUGGGCCUAGAAGAACACUGGCUCAUGCUUUUGCACCAGAGGAUGGAAGAUUCCAUUAUGAUGCAGACGAGGAUUGGAGCAGUAAUCCCAACAUGAACCAAAUGGACUUGGAAUCUGUGGCAGUUCAUGAAAUUGGUCAUCUGCUUGGGCUUGCACACAGUCAGGAUUCAAAUGCCAUUAUGUACGCAACAAUUCCACCAGGGAUUAUAAAAAGGGAACUCACACAAGAUGAUAUUGACGGCAUACAUGCUCUCUACCGUAAUUAAUCAAGCAAAAAACUAUGUUU
rnacentral:misc_RNA from 1 species